AUGGUUGCUCGUUUACCUGAUGAAAAAAUUCAAAAAAAUUCACUAUUACUCAAUAAAUACAAAUGUAAACAUAGUGUUACUUUAAGAGAGUUACAGUCAUUAUAGGGUCUUUUGAAUUUUGCCUGUGGCGUCAUUGUUCCAGGUAGAGCUUUCUUACGCAGAUUAUUUAUUUUAACUAGGGGUCAUAUAUCUCCACAUUAAAGAAUAAAGUUAAAUUCUGAUGCAAGGCUAGAUCUUAAAUUAUGGGAUUUAUUUAUUAAAGAUUUUAAUGGUUAAUCAUGUUUUUUAUAUAACCAUGGAAGUAAUAUUGAAAGGAAUAACAUCGUCGUCACUUCAAAGGUUUCAUCUGCGUUACCGCCCAUCUUUCGAUAACUCGUUAAUUGGUUCAAUAUCUGGCAUGGAAAUUGAUUCUCCGCAUGUGAUCGAUCAAAUCACUGACACUUAUCGGUCAGUUUCGUGUUCACGGAGAAUUACGAACAGACAAGUUUUUGUCGUAUAUACGUGCGAAGUAACCCAAAUAGUCCAUUCGUUACAUUCCGUUGAUGUACCCUGUCGAAUAGAGUCAUUUGUUCAAUUUUUAUUUUAGUCCAUUUUUUCCCUAUUUUAGGUUAGUUUGAUCUUAAUAGUUUAAACCGACACCUAUCACAUACGAAAUUGGAGAACAAGGCUGGGUCAUUUUCAAUUUUAAUAUUUACAGACAGUUAAAAAACCAUUUCCGUAAGUUAAGAAGAUGAUUGUUAAAAUAUACGUUUGGACCCCCUUUAUUAAAUACGAAAGAUC
rnacentral:lncRNA from 1 species